UACGGGGGGAGCAAACGUUGUUCGGAAUCACUGGGCGUAAAGAGCUCGUAGGCGGUUCGGUAAGUCGGAUGUGAAAUCUCCACGCUCAACGUGGAGGGGCCAUUCGAUACUGCCGUGACUCGAGUCCGGUAGGGGAGUGUGGAAUUCCCGGUGUAGCGGUGAAAUGCGCAGAGAUCGGGAGGAACACCCGUAGCGAAGGCGGCACUCUGGGCCGGUACUGACGCUGAGGAGCGAAAGCGUGGGGAGCGAACAGG
rnacentral:rRNA from 1 species